AGAAGUUCGUGACGAAUUGAAUUUACUGUAAGUUCGCCCAUCUCUAAUGGUAAUCCGUUCCAAACGGACCAUCAUUUGUUGAAACCAUCGCAUGUUGAGGGAUCCGUGCAAUGUCAAGUAUAGGACAGUGGUCUACAACCUGCGGACCUCCAGAUGUUGCAAAACUACAACACCCAGCAUGCAGAUGUUGCAAAACUACAACACCCAGCAUGCCCGGACAGCCGUUGGCUGUCCGGGCAUGCUGGGUGUAGUAGUUUUCUAACAUCUGGCGGUCCACAGGUUGUAGACCACUGUUAGAGGAAGUUGUACUCAUCUGUCCCCGCCGCUCCGGACCGUCAUCGCUGCCCGGGAUGUCGCCGUCCAUCGCUGUCACCGCGUACCCGACGCUCCGGCAAGGCCUCUGCUUCCCCGGCAUCCACACUCUCCGUCACCGCCAUCACGUCGCUACGCACGCCGCACCUAUUGGAUGACGGGACGUGUGCGCAGGGACGUGAUGACGACGAUGGAGAGCGCCGACGAUGCAGGGAUCCUGAAGAGGACCUGCCGGAGCCCCGAGGACAGGUAAGUGAUCGUCAGCGGAUCACACGCGGCACCGUAAACGGCUAUCCGGUGGCAGCUGAAGCAGUCUGCGCGGCCGGAUAGCCGUUUAUGCGAUGGCCCCGACAUACAAAAGCAUCGUAUGUUACUGCUGCCUUCAACAUGCGAUGGCCUGUAUAGUAAAAAUAAUAAAGAUAUAGGGGGAGAUUUAUCAAAACCUGUGCAAAGGAAAAGUUGCCCAUAGCAACCUAUCAAAUUGCUUCUUUCAUUUUGCAGAGGCCUUGUUAAAAAUGAAAGAAGCGAUCUGAUUGGUUGCUAUGUUUUGAUAAAUCUCCCCCAACAUGCUUACCACCCGCUGUCAGGUCUUCCAGUCCCUGCUGCAGCCAUAUUAUUCCUCCUUACGAUUUUUUUUACAUUUCUGCAGGAAUUUCCCAUUCAGUCCAAUAGCCUGUUCAGCGGGAAGUGAAAUGUCAUUUGUAGGAGAAAGGACAGAAGCACAGCGGGGACCAGAAGAUCUGACGGUGGAGAUGGCAAGAAAUGCCCGCUCAGCCACAGCAGUGACCCGCCUCAGAUUAGGGGGUUCUGAGGUAGAGCCCAUUUAUCACCAGAGAGCAACUUCAAUAAACUGUUUGCACAUGAAGUUCCCAUACUGACAGGAGUACACGUGGUGCUGUAUGUGGACCAGAAAUCUCUCAUUGAAUUCAAAGGCACAUGGAAAUUGCUCCAUGAGCUGCCAGACACACUCCAGGAACUGGUCAAUGACUG